CAACAACCGCCAUGACCAGCAGCAUGUGAAGACACCGGAAAGCCACCAGCCACGUGGCAAGUCCUGUAUUAGAAUCGGUGGCCCCAAAUAGCACAGCAGUGAGAGGAAAUAUGAAGGCCAGAACAAGCUGUUAUACAAGGCCCUGAAAGAAACUUAGAAUAAAGGAAAACAAACAUCCCUGAGCAUAGUACAGAUGAGUUGACUUCAUGUAUUGGAUUUGCUUCAAGAUAAUCUGAAAAGAGAUGGGUCAGUGAGGGAGUGAGGAGAUGCACACACAGGACAAGAUGGGGCCUGCCACCAGGAGCUGCUGCUGCUGAAUUAUGAGCUUGCCGUUGCAUUGUCCCUCUACCUCUGGCGUUCUGUGACAAUUUCAUCAAUAAAUAGAGACACGUGGCACGUUGCCAAUAGUGAAUAGACUGACUGCGAAUAGCCCCCUAGAUUCAUUCUUAUUCAGGAACCUGUUCCCUACUCACUUCCUUUAUUUCUUUUGGAGGGACAACUGAGCCCUAGUGAACUAAGCAAGGACUCAGCACCAUUCUGUUUUAUUUCU